rnacentral:rRNA from 1 species
UACGAAGGGGGCUAGCGUUGCUCGGAAUGACUGGGCGUAAAGGGCGCGUAGGCGGUUUGUACAGUCAGAUGUGAAAUUCCUGGGCUCAACCUGGGGGGCUGCAUUUGAUACGUGCGGACUUGAGUGAGGAAGAGGGUCGUGGAAUUCCCAGUGUAGAGGUGAAAUUCGUAGAUAUUGGGAAGAACACCGGUGGCGAAGGCGGCGACCUGGUCCUUGACUGACGCUGAGGCGCGAAAGCGUGGGGAGCAAACAGG